GGACGUGAGGGUAAUCUGGCUGUGACACUGAUCGCCAGGCUUGAUUCAGCUGAUCUUGCUGGAUAGGCGGAUAUCCCCUUCCUUCCUCACCGCUCAUAUGCGUCCCUCUUGAAGCUGCUCUCAGUACAAGAGGAUGACCUUCCCCAGUAGAGACCGGCUAGAACCUCUCAA
rnacentral:snRNA from 1 species